GGGAGAGAUGUAGAGUCUAUUUUAAGGCUAAGGGAAAACGCUUCUGCAGUUUGCCUCAAGGUUAUAUCUUGACACCCAAGAGAAACGAAAAAAAAAGUUUAAAAUGCAUUUUGAAGUUAAGCUGCUCUGUUACAUUUAGAAUAAACCUCCCAACUUCUGUUAGAAUAAAAGAGAACAAGUGACCUAGAUUUAAGUUGAGAGAAGAUAUCUUGUUAUCUAAUGUAAAGCUUUUAACCAGCUACUAGUUAUUAACUC
rnacentral:lncRNA from 10 species